rnacentral:tRNA from 1 species
GGGCUCGUGGUCUAGCUGGUUAUGACAUCGCCUUUACACGGCGAAGGCCACCGGUUCGAAUCCGGUCGAGCCCA